CGGCGGUUGGAGGCGCGCGGGCGGUUUGGGCGGAUGAGGGAGUGACAGCUGCUCAAUGGCGGCCGUAGAGCGAGCGAGAGAGAGAGAGCAGACAUCAAAUUGGUUAUAUAUUGCUGUUUAUGCAAAUUCUGUCUGCUUGAUCAGGGUACCAAGGUUGGACAAUUGAUGGUGAAAAAUGCAGAGGGGGGAAAUUAGCCAAGGUUCCUGCCAAGGUCAUGACCGCCUGCUGGGAAUUGUUCCAUUAGAUAUGGAAAGAAUGAUAUUAAAUGUAUAAGUUCACACGUCAACUCCCACUGGGCGUGGAACCACAUCUCAGCAUUUGUCAGUGUCUCGGGAGAAAAUGUUAAAAGAAUUAGUGAUUCAGUGUAACACAAUGUAACACUGUGAAGACAGCCUAAGUAUUUACACCAAUUUCUAAGUGUGGAAGGACAAAGGGAAUAGAAAAGAGGAGUAGAAGAGUUCACAUGAAGUAUUUGCUCAGUUAGAUGUUCUGAACUGCACUCGUGAAGCUCAAGUGGAUCCUGGAUUUUGUAUGUAUGUUGUUGGGUUCAUUGGUUUCCAUAGUGAAUCUAUUUUGGUAAAGAAGUGAUAGAUAUCACACCUGCUGAAUGAGAGAUUGCCACACCUGCUCAGGAAACCAAGAAGCUUUCAUGCCCUUGAGCUAACACCUGAGGGUAUCCACAAAAUUGUGCAAAGAUUUCUUCUUCACCCAUUGAAUGCAUUCAGGUUUUGAAAACUGAAAAUGAAUAGAGUGGCCAGUUCAUUCCUGUUGAUUUUGUUCUGGUUUGGGAACCCGGUUUGCCCCUCUAAUGUAAUGAUCGUAUCUUAUUUUUACUUAUAUUUUAUGCUUUUUUUUAAGAUUAAUUGUUCCAAAAAAAUGGCAAAUUGCUCUGAUUAAACAUUGUCUUUAUUUCUGCGUUUAUCCAGGGAACCACCCUGCAUUGUUUGAGAGGAGUGCACACAUACUUCUGCAUUUUUCUUUUUCAUAUAAUUACAUAGACCAUUAGAACAUGGCUCAACUUGUCUGCA